rnacentral:snRNA from 14 species
GUGCUCGCUUUGGCAGCACAUAUACUAAAAUUGGAACGAUACAGAGAAGAUUAGCAUAGACAAUGAGC